CACACAAGUACAUUGAUGAGAUGGACUCUUAUCCCGCUGAUGGAAACCUCUACUUCUUCACAUUACAAUCUAACAUGACGUUGUUCUUUAACUCAAGAAUCAUAAUCUCUCAACCUCCAAGAAGCCCCAGAUUGAGCAGUUCCCAUGCAUUUUUCCAGUUUACUCUUCCACUAGUGCUCAACUUUCUGGGACUGAAGUAUCAAGCGAGGGAAACAAACCCAUUUGAAGCUCAUCCCAACAUCAUGUUCUUAGCUUCCACAAUCUUCUUUUCGUUCUCAACAUUGCCGUACCCGUUGACAGUGCUAUUUCAGCGACUUAUGGAUGAAUUCGCUCGGUUUAAUCAUGGACGAAGAUGCAGAAGAAGGGAUAUUAUCCAUCUACUGUUGAGUUGGAUACCCCAUGGCACCUGUUCCCACCAGCCCAAUAUGCUGCCUCUGUAAGUCUUAACUACUUAGGAAUGCGGUCCUGUUUGUGUGACGAACCGAAUUCCCAGCGUGUUUUUAUGCGUUCUUUUCAGCUCACCACGUCUUCAUAUUAAGGCAAUGGUAUUAUGAUCAGGGCCCAGAACAAAGUUAUAAUCUCUGUUCUUAUUGUUGUUCUAGACUUGCCUACAGAGACCAGAGAUAUAUUGUAAUGAUAUCUUUUAUCCUGAAUAAUUUGGCAGCACGAAGAUUGUUAUAAUCAAA